UAGCCGUAAACGAUACUCGCUAGGUGUCGGCCACGGUGCGACCGUUGUCGGUGCCGUAGGGAAGCCGUGAAGCGAGCCACCUGGGAAGUACGGCCGCAAGGCUGAAACUUAAAGGAAUUGGCGGGGGGAGCACCACAACGGGUGGAGCUUGCGGUUUAAUUGGACUCAACGCCGGGAAGCUUACCGGAUAAGACAGCGGAAUGAUUGCCGGGCUGAAGACCCUGCAUGACCAGCUGAGAGGUGGUGCAUGGCGUAGUCGUGU
rnacentral:rRNA from 1 species